ACACGCAUGACACACUGCAUAUCAAUAAGCGGAGGAAAAGAAACUAACAAGGAUUCCCCUAGUAACGGCGAGUGAAGCGGGAAGAGCUCAAAUUUGAAAUCUUAAAGGGUUUCCCUUUACGAAUUGUAGUUUAAAGAAGUGUUUUCUGUUGGAGUUUCGGUAAAAGUUCUUUGGAAUAGGACAUCAUAGAGGGUGAGAAUCCCGUAUUUGACCGUUACUUUCCAGCUGUGUGAUACACUUUCAAAGAGUCGGAUUGUUUGGGAAUGCAGUCCAAAAUGGGUGGUAAAUUUCAUCUAAAGCUAAAUAUUGGCGAGAGACCGAUAGCGAACAAGUACCGAGAGGGAAAGAUGAAAAGAACUUUGAAAAGAGAGUUAAACAGUACGUGAAAUUGUCAAAAGGGAAGCGUUUGACACCAGUGUUGUUUAGUUGAAAAUCAAUUCAAUAGUUUUUGAUUCUAAGUAGUAUUGACUUCAUCAGCUUGCUGCUUUCUUCUCAGAAAUUAUUGAAUGCACUUUUCAGUUAACAAGUCAACAUCAAUUUCUUUUGUUGUAAAAGGGUAAGAGGAAGGUGGCUUGCGCUUCGGCUCACGUGUUUAUAGCCUUUUAUCUCUGCAAUCGGAGAGAUUGAGGUCUGCAGCGUAGAUCCUUCGGGGUUAGAUACAUUGGUGCUAAGCUAUAGCCUUGUAUAGACAACUUGUUGACUAUGCUCAGUCAUGUAGCUUACUCGCUGAUGCUAUUUUACCUACGCUUAGGAUGUUGAUCUACAGAGCGAGAGU
rnacentral:rRNA from 1 species